rnacentral:rRNA from 1 species
CUCCGUAGGUGAGCCUGCGGAGGGAUCAUUACACAAAUAUGAAGGCGGGCUGGAACCUCUCGGGGUUACAGCCUUGCUGAAUUAUUCACCCUUGUCUUUUGCGUACUUCUUGUUUCCUUGGUGGGUUCGCCCACCACUAGGACAAACAUAAACCUUUUGUAAUUGCAAUCAGCGUCAGUAACAAAUUAAUAAUUACAACUUUCAACAACGGAUCUCUUGGUUCUGGCAUCGAUGAAGAACGCAGCGAAAUGCGAUAAGCAGUGUGAAUUGCAGAAUUCAGUGAAUCAUCGAAUCUUUGAACGCACAUUGCGCCCUUUGGUAUUCCAAAGGGCAUGCCUGUUCGAGCGUCAUUUGUACCCUCAAGCUUUGCUUGGUGUUGGGCGUCUUGUCUCUAGCUUUGCUGGAGACUCGCCUUAAAGUAAUUGGCAGCCGGCCUACUGGUUUCGGAGCGCAGCGCAAGUCGCACUCUCUAUCAGCAAAGGUCUAGCAUCCAUUAAGCCUUUUUUUCAACUUUUGACCUCGGAUCAGGUAGGGAUACCCGCUGAACUUAAGCAUAUCA